rnacentral:lncRNA from 1 species
UUCUGAUAUAUGUUGGGUACCAUAGAGUGAGAGGGAACAGGAAGCGGAGGCAGAAUCAGAGGAUUCUGGAAAGGUCUCUGUGUUUUCUUUUCCACUGAGAAUACAGAAAUCACGAUUAAUUAGUAAAGCUUUGUGGAUGGAAAUCUGUACAAUUUCAGGAGGGGAUACAUAUUACCACGUUAUUUUUGGAUGCUGGGCUUUGCAGCGAUUUGACAUUCUUCUUCAAUCAGGAAUAAGAAACAAAAUAAUGACAAUGUAAAGUAAAUUUUAAAAGAGCCAGAAAUAUAUUUCAGAUGGGAAUAAAUUCUCCAAGACAUCUGAUCCUAAUCUCAGUGGCUGAAGACUAAAGUUUUCAAGAUUCUUCUCCUUAGGUUGGAAAAAUGUGGCUAUAUGGAUACGUAAAUUUAUCUUUGCCUACUGCAAUUGAUUUUGAGAAGCUCUGGAUGCCGG